UACGGAGGGUGCAAGCGUUAUCCGGAUUCACUGGGUUUAAAGGGUGCGUAGGCGGGUAUGUAAGUCGGCGGUGAAAUCCCCGAGCUUAACUUGGGAACUGCCGUUGAUACUAUAUAUCUUGAAUGUCGUGGAGGUUAGCGGAAUAUGUCAUGUAGCGGUGAAAUGCUUAGAUAUGACAUAGAACACCUAUUGCGAAGGCAGCUAACUACGCGAAUAUUGACGCUGAGGCACGAAAGCGUGGGGAUCAAACAGG
rnacentral:rRNA from 1 species